rnacentral:rRNA from 1 species
GCGUUUACUAGCGAUUCCGACUUCAUGCACUCGAGUUGCAGAGUGCAAUCCGAACUGAGACUGGCUUUUAGAGAUUUGCUCACUCUCGCGAGUUGGCGACUCGUUGUACCAGCCAUUGUAACACGUGUGUAGCCCAGAGCAUAAGGGGCAUGAUGAUUUGACGUCGUCCACACCUUCCUCCGGUUUAUCACCGGCAGUCUCGCCAGAGAGGUUACUGUAAGUAUACCGACAGUACCAACUGACAACGUGGGUUGCGCUCGUUGCGGGACUUAACCCAACAUCUCACGACACGAGCUGACGACAACCGUGCACCACCUGUCUUGACGCUCUCCGAAGAGCACCCUCAACUUUCAUCGAGGUUCGUCAGAUGUCAAGCCCUGGUAAGGUUUUUCGCGUUGCUUCGAAUUAAACCACAUGUUCCACCGCUUGUGCGGGUCCCCGUCAAUUCCUUUGAGUUUCACACUUGCGUGCGUACUCCCCAGGCGGGAUACUUAUCGCGUUAGCUUCGGCACUGCAGGGGUCGAUACCCGCAACACCUAGUAUCCAUCGUUUACGGCCAGGACUACUGGGGUAUCUAAUCCCAUUUGCUACCCUGGCUUUCGUUCCUCAGUGUCAAUUACGGCCCAGUAAAGCGCUUUCGCCACCGAUGUUCCUCCUGAUAUCUACGCAUUUCAC